GGCCGGUUGGCGCAAUGGUAGCGCGUCAGAUUCCAGUCUUGGAACUUCCUGAAGGUUAUCCGUUCGAUCCGGGUAUCGGUCA